GAGUUUGAUCGUGGCUCAGAUUGAACGCUGGCGGCAUGCCUAACACAUGCAAGUCGAACGGUAACGCGGGGGCAACCCUGCGACGAGUGGCGGACGGGUGAGUAAUACGUAGGAAUCUGCCCAUUAGUGGGGGACAACCCGGCGAAAGCCGGGCUAAUACCGCAUACGCUCUACGGAGGAAACGGGGGAUCGUAAGACCUCGUGCUAAUGGAUGAGCCUACGUCGGAUUAGCUAGUUGGUAGGGUAACGGCCUACCAAGGCGACGAUCCGUAGCUGGUCUGAGAGGACGAUCAGCCACACUGGGACUGAGACACGGCCCAGACUCCUACGGGAGGCAGCAGUGGGGAUAUUGGACAAUGGGGCAACCCUGAUCCAGCAAUGCCGCGUGUGUG
rnacentral:rRNA from 1 species